GUGGGGAAUAUUGGACAAUGGGCGCAAGCCUGAUCCAGCCAUACCGCGUGGGUGAAGAAGGCCUUCGGGUUGUAAAGCCCUUUUGUUGGGAAAGAAAUCCUGUCGGUUAAUACCUGGCGGGGAUGACGGUACCCAAAGAAUAAGCACCGGCUAACUUCGUGCCAGCAGUCGCGGUAAUACGAAGGGUGCAAGCGUUACUCGGAAUUACUGGGCGUAAAGCGUGCGUAGGUGGUGGUUUAAGUCCGUUGUGAAAGCCCUGGGCUCAACCUGGGAAUUGCAGUGGAUACUGGAUCACUAGAGUGUGGUAGAGGGAUGCGGAAUUUCUGGUGUAGCAGUGAAAUGCGUAGAGAUCAGAAGGAACAUCCGUGGCGAAGGCGGCAUCCUGGGCCAACACUGACACUGAGGCACGAAAGCGUGGGGAGCAAACAGGAUUAGAAACCCCAGUAGUCC
rnacentral:rRNA from 1 species